rnacentral:lncRNA from 1 species
CUCCUGACGCUCUCAGAGUCUGGCCUUCUGCUGGGCCCCGGGUCUCUCACUGGCAGAAUGGAGUUCUCGGAGCUGAUCCAUACGGGCUGAGCCCAAGCAGAGUUUCUACGGGGCCCGGAGGCGCCCCCGCUUCGCGGCACGGUGUGAGUCACCGUCCACCACCUGCUCCUGUCGCCAGGGCCCGCGUCCUCUCCGGACCUGUGGCUGCUGCUGUUGCGUAGCGUCGACUCCUUCGAGAAGCAACCUGCGAGUGCUGCAGCUGGAAAUAGAGGGCGCGGAAGCGACGCUGGGCAUCGCCCGCUCCAUCGAGACCAACGCGUGGCGGCUGAGCGAGGUUCUGCUACGCUCCAGCCAGCCCCUAACUGGUCCCCAGAAGCGGCGCUGCUACAGGGACCAGGAGCUGCUGCGAACUGCGCUGGCGGGGGCUCGUCCUUGGGCGCGGGGCUUCAUCAUGGACACGCUCUCGGCCCAGGCCGCGAAACAAGCCCGCGUGACUGGCGGAGGCACAGAGACCAAGGCCGCUUAACCUGGCUGGUUGCACUGGUCCCUGGAGAGCACUGAGCACAGGGGCUGCCACAGUGGCCGGCUCAGACAUGGCAGAGAUCAGCAGAGAAUGGGCAAUCAGGCUCCCCUGAGAUGAGCAGCAGCGCAGAGGAGGUGCCCCUCUCUUACUACACCAACUUCAGAGGGCGUCCCCUGCAGGAGAGCUUCAUGCGCCUGGUGGAGGCCUGUGGGGACUCGGAGCAAAGCAUGGACAACUGGCUGAGUCGGCUGGACGGCUGCCGCUGACUGUAACAUGUAAAGCAGGCACUGAGCACCACCUGCCUGGCAGUCCAGGGCAUGGAGAGGCACAGACAGCACCCUGCUUGUGACUUCACUGGCCCAACUCAUCCUGGACCCCUUGAGCAAGACCAUGGCUGGAUUCCAGGAACUGGUGGAGUGGAAGUGGAUCCAGGAAAAUGCCGUGUGAAGGGAGGACUCAGAUGCACUCCCUGUGGUCUGGGCUCAACCAGCCAAAAGAGCAACAAAGACUCCAGAACCCACUCUACCUCCUCAAUCCCUUGGCCAUCUGUGGAGCCCCAGAGCCUGCGGCUGUGGCAAGGCCUGUUUCUGCGCUGGACCUGCUCACCUGAGCCUGCAGAAGCUGCAUGGGGGAAGAGUGUGGCAAAUAGUGACAGGAAGGGAGAAGACAGAAGCCUCUCAGCCAACUGCUUCAGCCGAGCCCCUAUUCUAAGCACUGGCUCCUUGGAUAGCAGCUGAGAUGUUCCUGAAACCUCUGCAGGCCCCUUAGGACCUUUACACCUUGGAUGAGGGUGCCUGCAACCCAGGUUAGCCAAAAGUACUGAGGGUCUUAAGUUUGAAGUGUCCAAAGUAUAGGGAGGUCUCAAUAAUAAAAGUCUCCAUGAUCAGCA